GUUUGGGUGAUGACUUAACAAUUUGUCGGAUACCCCUUCACUCUCAUGAGUGAGAACAGCAGUCUGACAAAC
rnacentral:snoRNA from 1 species